rnacentral:rRNA from 1 species
GUCAGCCUUCACCGGCCCCUCGUCACUCUCUGGAAGCAAUGCACGAGCAGUGCUAGUCUUGGUCCUUGCGGCCUUGACAAAACCAUUUGCGAUCCUUUUGNCUUUCAUACGUGAUAAUGGAAAAGAAUUACAACUAGUAGCGUUGGAUCCCUUGGCACGUCAUUCGAUGAAGACCGUUGCAAAAUGCGAUAAGUGGUGUGAUAUGCAAGUCCAAAACUUAUACGUGAACCAUCGAAUUGUUGAACGCACUGCAUCGAGCCUUACCCAGGAACGAUACGCCCCAUUGAGCGUCAUUAUCUCUUCGCGACUUGUCAUUUGCUUGACCUGUCCGGGUUCGGGAUUCAUGGCCUUUUGGCCAUGUUUCCUCAGAUUCAUUGCUGCACUCUAGCUGAGUGGGUGACCUUGUCAUGAAUUGUCAGGGGAGGCCAGCGGGCUUUGAGAUGCAAGAUCCUCCCUUGGGGAAGGACCAGCGUGGUGUCUACGGCACCUUCUUCCAAUGCAUGACCUCACGGGGGUGGGACGACCCGCUAGACUUAAGCAUAUUAAUCAGCGGAGGAAAAGAAACUAACAAGGA